AAGUAGCUUGCUACUGGACCUAGCGGCGGACGGGUGAGUAAUGCUUAGGAAUCUGCCUAUUAGUGGGGGACAACAUCUCGAAAGGGAUGCUAAUACCGCAUACGUCCUACGGGAGAAAGCAGGGGACCUUCGGGCCUUGCGCUAAUAGAUGAGCCUAAGUCGGAUUAGCUAGUCGGUGGGGUAAAGGCCUACCAAGGCGACGAUCUGUAGCGGGUCUGAGAGGAUGAUCCGCCACACUGGGACUGAGACACGGCCCAGACUCCUACGGGAGGCAGCAGUGGGGAAUAUUGGACAAUGGGGGGAACCCUGAUCCAGCCAUGCCGCGUGUGUGAAGAAGGCCUUUUGGUUGUAAAGCACUUUAAGCGAGGAGGAGGCUACCGAGAUUAAUACUCUUGGAUAGUGGACGUUACUCGCAGAAUAAGCACCGGCUAACUCUGUGCCAGCAGCCGCGGUAAUACAGAGGGUGCAAGCGUUAAUCGGAUUUACUGGGCGUAAAGCGCGCGUAGGUGGCCAAUUAAGUCAAAUGUGAAAUCCCCGAGCUAAACUUGGGAAUUGCAUUCGAUACUGGUUGGCUAGAGUAUGGGAGAGGAUGGUAGAAUUCCAGGUGUAGCGGUGAAAUGCGUAGAGAUCUGGAGGAAUACCGAUGGCGAAGGCAGCCAUCUGGCCUAAUACUGACACUGAGGUGCGAAAGCAUGGGGAGCAAACAGGAUUAGAUACCCUGGUAGUCCAUGCCGUAAACGAUGUCUACUAGCCGUUGGGGCCUUUGAGGCUUUAGUGGCGCAGCUAACGCGAUAGGUAGACCGCCUGGGGAGUACGGUCGCAAGACUAAAACUCAAAUGAAUUGACGGGGGCCCGCACAAGCGGUGGAGCAUGUGGUUUAAUUCGAUGCAACGCGAAGAACCUUACCUGUCUUGACAUAGU
rnacentral:rRNA from 1 species